rnacentral:rRNA from 1 species
UACGUAGGGUGCGAGCGUUGUCCGGAAUUAUUGGGCGUAAAGAGCUUGUAGGCGGUUUGUCGCGUCUGCUGUGAAAAUCCGGGGCUCAACUCCGGACUUGCAGUGGGUACGGGCAGGCUAGAGUGUGGUAGGGGAGACUGGAAUUCCUGGUGUAGCGGUGAAAUGCGCAGAUAUCAGGAGGAACACCGGUGGCGAAGGCGGGUCUCUGGGCCGUAACUGACGCUGAGGAGCGAAAGCAUGGGGAGCGAACAGG